rnacentral:lncRNA from 1 species
CCCAGCAAAGCAUUAUCUUCCCGUUCCCAGCUGAAGGAUCAUCUCCCCUGUUCCCAACCGAAUCAAGUUCAUCCUCCCGUGAUCCACUCAUCUCCCAGGUCUCCCACGAACAGAAUCAAGCCAGCCAUUCCCAGCUCAUUCCUCUCGUGUCUUCAUCUCCAAAGCUUUCGGAACAACUCCAUCCUUCCAUUCUCCCGAGCUUCACGGCAUCCCCUGCAUCCCAUACCGACUAAUCCUUAAUCAACCAAAUCCCAAACUUCCACCCAGCAAGCCAAGAUCCUUUCACGUUUCCAUCUCUAGCAUUUCGAAUCACCUCCUCUGUUCCGAAACAAAGAUUUCUUCACCAAACUGCCAACCGAAUCCAAACUACCUCUCAUUCGGAUUAAUCCCAUUGAUCACGGAAGAAUCCUCUGUUCCUAUCUUUCCACAGUUCCGCAUCCAAACUCCCGGAUCAGCUCAUGCAACAUCCAGCUCUUCGGAUCAGAUUCAGCACCGUGUCCAAGGAUCAAGGAACAGAGCCGGGAUCUUCUCAACGUUCGCAUCCAAAUCCAUGCAUCCCAGUCCGCGAUUCAUCUACAUCUUCUCAGCAUCAGGAUAAGAACCAGCAAUCAUCCAUCAACCGAGAUCCUUGCUCCACGUCCUCGCCAUCCGAGCUCCAAGGAUCAAGCCGACUUCAGCCAACGAAUUCCAGUUCCCAGCUCACCGACUUCCUCGUCCACGGAUUCCAUUGACCACAGAUCAUCCCAAUCUUCUCCCGGAUAAGAUCCAUUCCCAGCAACCUCCUGCGUCUUUUACGUGAUUCAUCCUCAUCUCAACCGAGAAGAGAGAGGGAGGGAGAGCCUAUAUAAAGAGGAGUUAUUUUCUUCGGGAGAGCAUCUUGGGG